UACGUAGGGUGCGAGCGUUAAUCGGAAUUACUGGGCGUAAAGCGUGCGCAGGCGGUCUGUUAAGACCGAUGUGAAAUCCCCGGGCUUAACCUGGGAACUGCAUUGGUGACUGGCAGGCUUUGAGUGUGGCAGAGGGAGGUAGAAUUCCACGUGUAGCAGUGAAAUGCGUAGAGAUGUGGAGGAAUACCGAUGGCGAAGGCAGCCUCCUGGGCCAACACUGACGCUCAUGCGCGAAAGCGUGGGGAGCAAACAGG
rnacentral:rRNA from 1 species